rnacentral:misc_RNA from 1 species
UUUAUACUCAUUCAAUAAUUUUUAUAAAGUUUUGUUGUUCUUCUGACAACAUUAACCUAAUAUUAAAAACGUAAAUAUUAUUUUAACAUGAAUCGACGUUCUGAAAAAGUGAAAAAGAUAAGGUAAUAAUUUAGUUUCAUGGUAUCACUAAAUUAGUUUUAUAAUAUAAAACUUAUUUAGUAAAUUAUAUAAAUGAUUUUUCUCUUAAAAAUCAAGGAACAAGUUUUUCCUAACCAUUAGGGAAAUGCUAAUUAUGCCUAAUGUCACAUUAAUGGGCACCAACAGGUUUUUUUCUUCUGCAAAACUCAGCAAAUUUAAGCUUCGAAGCUUAAUUUGAGAAGCUUUGAGAUGCUUCUCUGAGGGCAUCAACAGUCUGUCGAUGCCCUGAAACUUUCAAGCAUUUUUUAAACUUCGCACAAUUUAAUUUCACAUAUCAAUUUAUAAAUUAAUUCUUUCAGUAAAGAUGCUUAAAAUUACAGUAAACCUACUGAAGGCUUCAGUAAAUACAAAAAUAAUAAUAAAUUCAUACAAAAUAGGAGUACAUUUAAAGGGGUAUUAAAGGAUAAAUUCCAGAAUUUUGGAUAAUCGCUAUAAAUAAUGAGCUUUUUGUUAAUUUUUUUAAAAAGGAUUCAAAAUUAAAAAACUAAAAAUACAAAAAUUUACUAUAGAAAGUCCCUAUAAAAAGUCCCUAUAGAAAGUUUUUGUAUUUUAAGCUUCAGUAAGUUUAAAUUAGUUUUAAGCUUAUUUUGCAAAAAGAAUUAAUUUAUAAAUUAAAUUGUGGAAUUAAAUUGCAUGAAGUUUAAAAAAGAAUUAAAAGUUUCAGGGCAUCAGCAGUCUGUUGAUGUCCUAGGAGAAGCUUCUUAUUAAUUAAUAUUAAAAAAAUAUCAAAUAUCCAUAUUUUGUAACAAAUAAUUUAAUAUAAUAAAUAAUAAAAUUAAUGGCUGAAUUGUUCCUCCUCCUCCUUUUUAUUUUAUUUUUUAAUGGACACAUGAUUUUGCCCUUUAGCCACACCAAUUUUAAUUUUUUACCUGUUUAAUAAUGAUUUAAUUUAGUAUCUCCCACAAGCCAAGACUUUUUCAAAUUUUUUAUGUAAUUUAAUUAUGCUUAUUUUAAAUUUUGUCAAAAGAGACCGACAUUUUCGAUGGCGUCGUCGUCAUAGUACUGUGCGUGCUUUAUCUGAAUUGGUUUCUCUCAGCCAACACGAAGUUAAAAAUGAUAGAGAAAUUCCAAGUUUUAGCUCUAAUGGACAUAAUAGUUCAAAUAGUCAAUGUUUUGCAUUAAACUGCAGCUUUUCAAGUUCAGGCAACAAUGAUAGUAGCGGCAAGAUUUACAGCAUUUCUUCCAGUGAGUCAUUUAAUAAUUCUGUUUUGGCAAACAGUGACGAGAAUGCUGAUAUAAGAUCUUGUGAAUCAAUUACAGAAAGUAUUUCUCAAAACUCGAAAGAAGAGAAUGAUCUUUUUCCAGAUUCCCAAUUUGAUUCUCUGUUUUGCAAAUCAUUAAAACUUUGGUCCUUAAAACAUGGGUGUACCCGGCAAUGUAUGAAUGAUUUGUUAGUGCUUCAUAGUCAAAAAGGCCAUUCUUUACCCAAGGAUUCUCGUACAGUAUUAGGUACAAAGAAUACACAUAAUAUAGUGGUUGUUGAUGAUGAGGCAUAUGUAUAUUUUGGUAUAGAAAAUAACAUCAAAAGAAUAUUGAGUUUACAUGAAUACCAAUCGCAGAAUAUAUGUUUAAAUAUAAAUAUAGAUGGUCUACCUAUAUGGAAUUCUAGCUCGUAUCAACUAUGGCCGAUCUUACUUCAGUUUGGAAAGUUUAAACCAUUUAUGGUAGGCUUAUUUGGUAGCAAAUGUAAACCAAAAAUGUCAAAAUUUCUUUCAGAAUUUGUUCAAGAGUUGAAGGAACUUUUGUCUAGAUCAGUAUUAAACAUCAAGGGUAAACAAUAUAUUUUAUCAGUAUUUUGCUUUGUAUGUGAUGCCCCAGCAAGAGCGCUAUUAAAAGGCAUUGUUAACCAUACUGGGUUUUACUCUUGUGAAAGAUGCACUAUAAGAGGAAUCCAAAAACACAAAAGGACUGUGUUUAAUGAUUUAGAAAAAAAUGUUACUUUACGCAAUAAUGACAUGUUUUCUAACCAUUCUUACUCCUUUCCAGAUAACAGUGGGAAGCGACAUCAACACUCUUAUUCAUGUCUGCUUGCAUUGCCAAUUAAUUUUAUACAAGAUUUUGUAUUAGACUAUAUGCAUUUAGUUUGUCUUGGAGUGGUACGGCGUAUAUUAUAUUUUUUUAAAGGUACAUAUAGUGGUAUAUUUGAUGGUCGGUUGUCUUCUGCACAGCAAAAUAUAAUUUCUGAGCAGUUAUUGAAAUUUAAUGGAAGAUUGCCAAGUGACUUUGUCCGCCAACCAAGGUCAUUAUCAGAAUUGAAUUGGUGGAAAGCUACUGAGCUACGUAGUUUUCUUCUUUACACUGGUUUGGUUGCACUGAAAAGUGUGUUAAGUAAACAAAGUUACAAGCAUUUUUUGAGUUUGUCAGUUGCUAUUCGAAUGCUAUGCGAGAAGAACGCUAUUAAACGAAAUAUAACAUUGAGUCGGCUAGACAGUUACUUAAUUACUUUGUUAACAAUUCCAAAGAGCAUUAUGGCUCUUCUUUUUGUGUAUAUAAUGUACAUGGACUGUUACACAUUGCUGAUGAUGUGGAAUAUUUUCAGUGUAGUUUAGAUGAAAUAUCUGCUUUUCAGUUUGAAAACUACUUGUAUGAGAUAAAACAAUUAGUUUGGGGAAAACAUAAUCCAGUUAUGCAAAUUGUUUUGAGGCUAAGUGAGCUUGAAGAUAAUCCAACUUUAAAGGAAGGAAAUAUUUUCAAGAUACGAGUUGGUAAAAAAGAUUCAUGUUAUUUGGUUCAGAAUGGUAUUGUUAAAGUCACUGCUAUAUGUCGAGAUGGAGGCUUUCAAUGUGAAUUUUAUCCAAAAUCUGCACUUAAAUAUUUUUUUACCCAUUUUGUUGACUCAAGAGACCUUGACAUAUAUUAUAUUAAAGAAAAUGCCUGCUCCAUAAAAUGUUUUAUUCAAAGAACUGAUAUAAUUCGAAAAUGUGUUUGCUUACCAUAUCGAAAUAGUUAUGUUAUAAUACCUUUAAUGCAUGAUGUAUAAACAAGUUGGAGUGGUUUUAAUAAAUAAAUGUCCUUAUAAUCUUUUUUUUUAUUCAAUGUUAUUAGGGGUGGGUGAGACAAUGUUAAUAUUAAAUGAGGCGGAGAAAAAAGGUAUGGUUCCGCUUCAAGUAUGUAAAGGUAAGUAACUUCCAAGUAUUUACUCUUGGGCUCCUCAUUUUUUCUUUUUUUUUCUUUACAAAAAAAAAAAACAUUUUGAGGAUAGAAUGUAAGUACCAUUACCAGUUUUAUUAGUUUAUUUAUAAAUUAUCACAUAGACAUGGUUUGGAUGAAAGACUAGAAAUCUACAACACAAACAUGCAGCUGAAUGGAGCAGAGUAGCUGAUAUUGGGCUGCAUGUGUUGUCCAAGAAAAUGACACAGAGUGGAAAACCAUUGUGCCCUGCCCAUGGGUUGAUACUUUAAAUCAGCAAAUCUUCUGGCCACUAAAUGAAUCUAAGUCUUUAGAUUUCU